UGCCAACUUCUCAUAUCCUCUUUAUCGAGGAAAGUCAAAAUCUUGUCGUAUCAACUGGACAUUUGAAAUCAUAUUUUACGAUUAUCGACAUGAAAAAUGGAAACAGUAAGAAAUCUCUUAAAGUUGGGUCAGAUAAUUAUGGAAUAGCUCACAAAGAUGGAAAAUUGUUUUAUAAUGCAGAUAGAAGUGGACUACAUGUUUUUAGUUUAGAUAGCUACUCUAAAACGCAGUUGGUUAACGUGCCCUUAUUAUUGCAUAGCAGCAUUGCAAUGUGGUCAGACCAACUAUAUUUUAU
rnacentral:lncRNA from 1 species